UGGACAUAUUAUUGUAUUCGACUGUAUUCACGGCAUGAAACAGGGGAUUACAUUGUUUUUAAACGAAAAGUGAAUCAAUUAACAUAAUAGACUCCU
rnacentral:pre_miRNA from 1 species